rnacentral:rRNA from 1 species
AUUUUGGACAAUGGGGGAAACCCUGAUCCAGCCAUCCCGCGUGUAUGAUGAAGGCGUUCGGGUUGUAAAGAACCUUUGUCAGAGAAGAAAAGGUAUCUGCUAUUACGGGAUACUGCUGACGGUAUCUGCAGAAUAAGCACCGGCGAACUACCGGUCAGCGGCCGGGGUAAUACGUAGGGUGCAAGCGUUAAUCGGAAUUACUGGGCGUAAAGCGUGUGUAGGCGGUUCGGAAAGAACGAUGUGAAAUCCCAGGGCUCAACCUUGGAACUGCAUUUUUAACUGCCGGGCUAGAGUAUGUCAGAAGGGGAUAGAAUUCCACGUGUAGCAGUGAAAUGCGUAGAUAUGUGGAGGAAUACCGAUGGCGAAGGCAGCCCCCUGGGAUAAUACUGACGCUCAGACACGAAAGCGUGGGGAGCAAACAAG